UACGGGGGGUGCGAGCGUUGUCCGGAAUCACUGGGCGUAAAGGGCGCGUAGGUGGUUUGAUAAGGGUGUGGUGAAAGUCCGGGGCUCAACUCCGGAUCUGCCGUGCCGACUGUCAAAACUCGAGGGCUGUAGAGGCAGACGGAAUUCCGGGUGUAGCGGUGGAAUGCGUAGAGAUCCGGAGGAAGACCGGUGGCGAAGGCGGUCUGCUGGGGCAGUUUUCUGACACUGAGGCGCGACAGCGUGGGGGGAGCAAAACAGGG
rnacentral:rRNA from 1 species